CCACUACACUCAAUUAUAGCGUUCACCCAUGAAAGGCGCCAGCUGUCUCUGUUUUGGGGGAAAUAUUUGACGCCAAAAUCAAUAUACUUGUGUGAAAUCCCUCUCUCUUCCUUGUUUCAAUUUCAAACCCUCUCUCUCUCUCUCUCAGUGGAGAUGGAGAAUCGAUCGAUCUAUCUGUAUGGGUAAAUGGAGAAUCGAUGAAAAUUCCAAUCAAUGCGGGAACAAAUGGCGCCCUAAGCUUAUCAAUCUCAUCCUCGAACAACCUCAAGAAAUCGAUCCCUUCCGGCAUCUCAACCACUACCGUCUCCUCCCUCUCCACCUCCACUCUGCCGUUGCCGGAAAUCUACACCGUUUUCUCAGAGAUAAGGGGCAUCGCCGUUUUCGUUGGGGUUGAAGAGGCGAUAACCCACUUCGUUAUGUGUCCCACCCAAAGGUUUUCUACUGUCCCAAAUUGAAGGGGAUUUCACUAGAUUUUUCGCAUCAAGAAAGUGAUAGCACUGAUCUUACUGCCAUGGUGGAUGGUCUGGGUACGUAGGAGCUGCCCAUGGCUACAAAAUAUACACAUUGCAUCAGUUCGACUUUCUCAUGACUGUGCUUGCUCUUACUGCUUCAACUUUGAGGUUGGUGUUGUUUCAGAUUAUGACUUGUUAGCACUUGAUUCUAUCUCAGGUACUACUUGAGAUUU